GGCUGAAGUUUAGGCGGUAAAUUGUAAAUUUAUUAAUGAGUAAUUUCUUUUACCGUAAAAU
rnacentral:tRNA from 1 species